rnacentral:rRNA from 1 species
UACGUAGGCAGCGAGCGUUGUUCGGAAUUACUGGGCGUAAAGAGUGUGUAGGCGGUGCUCUAAGUUCGGUGUGAAAUCUCUGGGCUUAACCCAGAGGCUGCUUCCAAAACUGCUGUGCUUUGAGUGUGGGAGAGGCGCGUGGAAUUGCAGGUGUAGCGGUGAAAUGCGUAGAUAUCUGCAGGAACACCCGUGGCGAAAGCGGCGCGCUAGGACCACUACUGACGCUGAGGAACGAAAGCUAGGGGAGCAAACAGG